GACGAACGCUGGCGGCGUGCCUAAUACAUGCAAGUAGGACGCAGUUGCGAACGGGUGAGUAACGCGUAGGUAACUACCUAUUAGAGGGGGAUAACUACUGGAAACGAUAGCUAAUACCGCAUACUUGUAGAUGGACCUGCGUUGUAUUAGCUGGUAGGUAGGGUAAUGGACUACCUAGGCAACGAUACAUUGCCGACCUGCGAGGGUGAUCGGCCAAACUGGGACUGAGGCACGGCCCAGACUCCUACGGGAGGCAGCAGUAGGGAAUCGUCGGAAAUGGGGGGAACCCUGACCGAGCAACGCCGCGUGAUUGAAGAAGGGUUUCAGAUCGUAAAGCUCUGUUGUUAAGGAAGCGGUACUUAACCAGAAAGGGACGGCUAACUACGUGCCAGCAGCCGCGGUAAUAC
rnacentral:rRNA from 1 species